CAAUCGCAAAAGCCGAGGAAAAAGUUGCAAGUUGGAUGGCACUCUGCUUGUUGUUGGGGUCAGCUCUUGAGAAGAACGUGGGACAGGGGUGUUGACCUGAGAGGAAAGGCAUCCGCUGGCCCAAAGUUUGACUUCAGCACCUUGCGAAUAACAGAAAGAAGAGCAAAAAGUGUUCCCUGCAGGUCUGUGCUCGUAAGUGGACUCUGGCGGUGAGCAGGUGACUCCCUCUUGUGGCACGGAGGACCCAAGAACAAUCUU